UACGGGGGGGGCAAGCGUUGUUCGGAAUUACUGGGCGUAAAGGGUUUGUAGGUGGCUUGCUAAGUCAGACGUGAAAUCCCUCAGCUUAACUGGGGAACUGCGUCUGAUACUGGCGAGCUUGAGUGCAGGAGAGGAACGCGGAAUUCCAGGUGUAGCGGUGAAAUGCGUAGAUAUCGGAAGGAACAUCAGUGGCGAAAGCGGCUUCCUGGACCAGUACCGACGUUCAGGCACGAAAGCGUGGGGAGCAAACAGG
rnacentral:rRNA from 1 species